UGACAUAGAAAUGAAUUUGAUCACAACCAGAGUUAAAGGAGUCAUUGAAAAAUCUAAUGCAUUAGGAGGUAAUCAUUUAAAGGAAACAACUGGAGCUGCAUGUGCUAAUUCGGAUAUGCCUUGUGAGAAUCAUAACAACCUUGAGAGUGAUAGUUCAGUGUCAGCUAACACAAAAGAAAGUCCCAAUGUACGGCCUAGAACAUUGGGUGAAAAUAACAGUAUGGAUUCACAGAGUUUGGUUGUUGAAAAUAAUCAUUUCAGUAAAGCAACACUAGCACAAAAUUCCGACCAAGACUUGUUGAGCAAUGUCAAAGUUUCUACUUCUCAUUUGCAUGAAAAUCCUACCACUAUCACAUCUGGACUUGAAGUGCAUGGUGAAAAGAAACCAUCUGUAUGCAUAGAAGUUUCUAGUGUUAGAGUAGUCAAUGAAGGUAGUUUAGAAGCAACUCCAGAUGAAUCAAAUGGAUCAUUCAGUUGAUAUCCAUCUAAUCUUGCUCACAAUUGGUUGAAUAAUAUCCCAUUUUAGUCUUGCAGCAGUUUGCUCCUCCAGAAUUGUUGGAAUUUGGUACUGAUGGGAGCUGCCCAACGCAAAGCUGACAAAAUUUGGAUUACUUGACUGUAUUUUGUACACCCUACGGCACUUACACAAUGUAAGCGACCUGACGAUCCCUAUGUAAUUGUAUUUUUUCUAACCAGCCGCAGCAGGUUGGAAUAACUAUCACAGUGAAUUCCUUCAAUCUUUUGACCCUUUAUGCUGUAAAAUGUGAGGCAUUUACAAGGAUCAAGAGCAUUUUUAUACCCAGGGAAGGACCUUUCUUUUAAUCUAGUUAGGAUUCGUAUCUUGAUUUGUUUGUUGGAGGGUCGAUUAUGGAUGUUCUGAUUUUAGCUCCCUUUGGGUUGAAGGUCAAUAUCCUGGUGUAACGUGACUCUUACAAUUCAAGAUGAUUUAUUUUUAUGUUUAUCGAUAAAA